rnacentral:rRNA from 1 species
UGGGCAACCUGCCCUCAGCUCUGGGAUAACUCCAAGAAAUUGGGGCUAAUACCGGAUAUGAGUCCGAGCGGCAUCACGCGGACUGGAAAGUUUUUCGGCUAAGGAUGGGCUCGCGGCCUAUCAGCUUGUUGGUGGGGUAAUGGCCUACCAAGGCGACGACGGGUAGCCGGCCUGAGAGGGCGACCGGCCACACUGGGACUGAGACACGGCCCAGACUCCUACGGGAG